AUAAUGGGGAUUGGGGUGGGGAAUACAAAACUAAACCCCACCCCGUUAAGAAUCUGGGGAUUAUUUCUCCCACAUUCCCCACUCUAUUCUCCAAAAAUUAUUUAAAAUUUUCCUCAUUUGGGGUGGGACUCCAUAGGGCCCCGAACUCAUGGAGAAUUUUGCCCUCCCUACCCAUCAUUUCUAGACUCUAGCCAUUUUAUGAGUGAAGGCACAUAGAAACUUCAUAAGCCGGAAUGCAUACUUACCUUUCAUGCAAACCAUACAAAAAAAUAAGCCCAAAUGGCGUAAAUACAUCAGCAGCAAUGCCAAAAUUCGUAUUCCAUCUUAAUUUGCAUAAUUUAUAGUGGAUCCAAAUGUGAGUAAUAUCCAUACACAUUCUGGGCGGAUAUUCUAAUUAUGUGAAUCCACACAUUUAAAAUAUUUAUUUGUAAAUUUAUAACGUUUUAAUUGUUAAAAAAAUAAUCUUCUAAUACAAGACAAAUGUAAAAUAAUCUAAAAUAAUAUUUAUGAGUACUUGGGUGUAUUAUAAUAUUUAUGUGUAAUGUGUUUAGAGCUUAUGAUUUGUGUUUUCUUACAUAAAUUAUGUUUUUUAUUUAAUUUAUUUAAAAAAAAUAUCCAGAUACAGAUUUUUUUUUUUUUACACACUGUGCAAAUCCUCAAUUUAUACAUCUGGAUCCGUAUUUUUUAUUAUACGAAUUUAAUUUUUUUCAAAUCCAAAUUUUUUUUUAUCUUUAGAGAUGCAGGCCGAAUCUGAAUUUAUUUGCCAUCUCUGCAUGAUAGGAAAGAAGGCAGCUAAGCCAUGGCAUCCAUGCAUCAAGCGACCUUGAAUUAACACAACGUGCAUAUUUUAAGGCUGCAGUUUGAAUUCUUCCUUUUUAUUCCAUACACUUAAAAUUGAAAAACUUGGGAGGAAGAAUGCCGGCUUUCGGAUCCCAUUUAGAUUAAUAAUAUUUUGGGAAGGGCCAUGAAUGUGCCCAUUUAGUAAGUGGAGAGUACUCAUUUGGGCAUAUUUUAAGCCCAAUAUAUAUAUAUACUCUUAAACUCCCACCAUUAAAUAAAUGAGAAUUAACAUAAUUCUUUCAUUUCUUGUUAUCAAAUAACCGAACAAGUUAUAUUUAUGACUUAAUUAAAUAACAAGAUCGCUUAAAUGGAUAGCAAUAAUUAUUAAUUUAAACGGAUAGUAAUUAUACACUUUAUUUAUUUAUCAUGCGGACCAUUUAUUGGAAAUUCUUACAUAUGCUAGAAAAAAUAAGAUUAAUGUCUCUAUGAAAAGCUCCAAAUUAGUGAAAACUAGGGGAUCAAUCGAUUCUGCGAGUUUUCUCGAGUUCGGGGAUGUUGGGAUAAUCUCAUCACUCAUUAGCAAUCAGGCAUAUUCAAUUUUUCCCCUGUGGUUUGUGAUCAACGUAACCAAUAGCUAUCUCAACUAUGUUAAUUCACAAGAUAAAUAGUUUUAAAGUAAAAACGAGAAAUUGAUCUUCAAUUUAAACUUCCGAAUACGUUUAUUAAUAGUAAACGAAGCUUUGUUUUUCAAAAUACUUACUUAGGUAACCUCACUCUUCCAAUAUUACCCAUUUCAUUUAUUUUAAUUUAGAUCUACAAAUUAGGGCAGAAAAUAUAAAUAACUUUCAGAGAUAACAAAAAAAAAAAUUACAGCAUUCAAUUGCGAGCUUUGUGAAUUGAUUGCAUUAGAUAACAAAAAAAAUAGCUAGGUUUAUAUCUAUCUCAAUUUCUUAGCUCACAGGUAACAUGUUAUUUUGGGAAGCAGAUUAAUGUGAUAUAUGAACAAUCAAAAAAUAUAAUGCCAUCAACUUCUCAUUCUCAAGAAAAUCCUAAGAAGGUGAAUUUUAUUGAUGUUAAUAGUACAUUCAGUACCAUUCAGAGUUUAGAUCACUUAUAUUAAUUUCGAUCAGUCUUUGAAUUCGGAAAGGAAUAUCCUUAUAAAUUAUUAAUAAGUCUUGAAAAAAUAAAAAAAUCUAUGUUACUCACAACCUUAAAUUAGUUGUUUUUCCAAAUAUUGUCAGGGUCACAUAUACGGUCGAAGUCACCGUCCACAAUUACGACAACAAUUAUAAACUGUUAAAUUUUAAUUUCAACAAUAUAUAGGAGCAACAUAAGCAGCUGUGGAAACUUUAAUGACAGUAUGUAGCCACGAGAAUUAACUGCAACGUAGCCAACUUUAAUUAAUUUUUUACUGUAUUAUCUCAUUAAGUUUUGUUUAAUACUGCUGUAUUAUUAUUUUUUAUCCUUCAUUCAUUAAUUAGCCGUCACAAGAAAAGAGAGUUUCUGUAAGCCCCAAUGUGACUGCAAAAAGGCAGGCAUUACAAACGCCACUUAAUUUAUGAUCGAAAAAUACUUAUGUUUGUAAACGUUAGUGGCUGUGACAAAAGACUCCACCUUUGCCAUACCUCAGCCAUCACAAAGUCAAUUAAUAUUUUAGUAGUCUUAAAAAUUUCAAAUUGUGAAUUAAAAAAAAAAUGAUGAAUCUCGACACGAUAUCUGCAAUGGUCAUUAAUGAGGUAUUAUCGGUAAAUAGAACGUAAAAUAAGUAAAGUAAAAUAAAAUAGAACAUAAAUGAUGUAAAUAAUAAGUAAAUAAGUAAAUAAAAUAGAACAUAAAUAAAACAUAAAUGAAGUAAAUAGAACAUAAGACUUGUAAAUGAAAGGUUAAAUAAGUAAAUUAAUUUAGGAGUAGUAAAUUGAUGUAUUAUUGGUAAAUAAAAUAAAAACUUAUCACUAUAAUAUAAAACUAGUAAAUUAACAUUAUAUGUAAAAUAAAGCAUUAAUCAAGCAAAUAAAACAUAAGACCUAUAAAUAGAAAGUAAAAGUGUGUUAUUGGUAAAUAAAACCAAAACUUAUAGAUAUGAUAUAAAACUUGUAAAUCCAUAUUAAGUAUAAAAUAAAAUAUAAAUGAUGUAAAUAGAACAUACGACUUGUAAAUGAUAAGUAAAUUAAGAAAAUUAACUUAGGAAUAGUAAAUUGAUAUAUUAUUGGUAAAUAUAACAAAAAUUUAUCAGUAUAACAUAAAACUCGUAAAUCAACAUUAUAUGUAAAAUAAAUUAUUAAUUAAGUAAAUAAAACAUAAGACCUGUAUAUAUAAGAUAAAUCAAGUAGAUUAACAUAACAGUGGUAAAAUGAUGUAUUAUUGGUAAAUAAAGCAUAAACUUACAUCUAACUUACAAAUGUAACAUAAAAUCUGUAAAUUAACAUUAUGUGUAAAAUAACAUAUAAAUUCUAUAAAUGAAAUAGAAAACCUAUAAAUGACAUGUAAAAUAAGUAAAUAUUAUAAGAGUUAUUAAAAAAAUAGAAACUUACAAAUGUAAAAUAAAAAUUCACAAUUUACUGUUUUUAUUUCUAAAAUGAAGAAUGAUAAUUUUGGUUCUAUGUAAUAUCUAUGACGAUAUAUACGA
rnacentral:lncRNA from 1 species